rnacentral:lncRNA from 1 species
UGCCUCCUUAUUAUCCAACAUAUUCUCUUAUCCAACAUUCUGCCGGCCCAUUUAUGUUGGAUAAGUGCGACUCUACUGUAUUUGUAUGUAUGUAUUUUUAUCCUUUUUAUCUUGUAAAUCGCCUAGAGCAGGGGUCCUCAAACUUUUUAAUCCGAGGGCCGGUCCACAAUCCUUCAGACUGUUGAGGGGCCGGAUUAUCAUUUGAAAAAAAAAAAAACAAAUUCUGAUGCACACUGCACCUGUCUUAUUUGUAGUGCAAAAACAACAAUAACAACAACAACAACAACAACAACAACAGCAACAAUGAAAGAACAAUACAAUAUUUUAAAAUAAAAAUAAUUUUAACCAACAUACAUUUAUCAGGAUUUCAAUGGGAGGUGUGCUUCUGCUUCUGGGCAAUGAGAUAGUCAAGUUAAUUAGGGUUGUUGUUGUUGUUGUUGUGUGCCUUCAAGUCAUUUCAGACUUUGGGCGAGCCUAAGUCUAAAAUGUAUGUAUUUAUUUAUUUAAUGCAUUUAUUUACUACAUUUGCAUCACACCCUUCUCACCCCAAAGGGGACUCAGAGUGGCUUACAAAUUAUAUGUACAUACAAUAUAUUAUAUUAUUAGCAUAGCACAAUAUCAGCAUUAUAUAUUACUUUAUUGAACUAUACCACUAUACUAUAAUAUUAUUAGUAAUAUUAUAUGUAAUAUAGAAUAUAUAAUUAAUAUUAUUAUAUGGCAUUAUUAUUAGUGUUAUAUUGUAUUACAUUAUAAUAUUAUUAUCAAUAUUAUAUUUAUAUACAAUAUAUUAUAUUAUAAAACUGAGGGCAGGGGCCAGGUAAAUGACCUCGGAGGGCCACAUCCGGCCCCCGGGCCUUAGUUUGGGGACCCCUGGCCUAGAGCAUCGUGGAUGGAGGGCGAUUAAUAAGUAAUUAAAUGAUGAUGAUGAUGAUGAUGAUGAUGAUAAGAAGACCAAGUCAAUUUUGCCUGUCCAAAGGAACCACUAGAAAAUCUAUCAGAGAUUAGGACGGACUAUGUUGCCAUUCAUCUGAGAGUAGACGUGGGCUCUUUCUGGCUUUCCAAGUAGAAUUGUAAUAUUCCUUGUCAUUGGCUGUUUUGGCUAAGACCUCUGGAUUUAUAAUCUGUCAACAUCUAAAUGUUUCUCACUCUGCUCUUGGAGAAAUGUUGAGCAGGGUUAUCCAAACUGAGAGUAGUUUUCAUCAUAUAAGCAAUUCUAUUGUAAUUCACUGGUCUGAUAUUUUCUGUAGAUUGUAAGCUAACUGCAAUGAACUGGGGGGCAGUGCUUUAAGAAAACCCUUAUCCUGCAAACAGCUGUAAGGCAUUAUCUCUGACAGAUACACAGGAGCCUUCUAUGAACUGAAAUCCCCAAAUUCCUCCCUACCUUUUUUUAUCUGCUUACCUCCCAUUUGUCAUAACCUCUGUUUGCCCAUCUUGUGG